CCUACGGGUGGCAGCAGUAGGGAAUUUUGCGCAAUGGGCGAAAGCCUGACGCAGCAACGCCGCGUGAUCGAGACGCCCUUCGGGGUGUAAAGAUCUGUCAGUGGGGACGAAACUUGACGGUACCCACAGAGGAAGCACCGGCUAACUCCGUGCCAGCAGCCGCGGUAAUACGGGGGGGGCAAGCGUUGUCCGGAUUCAUUGGGCUUAAAGGGAGCGUAGGCGGGCGUUCAAGUCAGCUGUAAAAUCGCGCGGCUCAACCGCGCCCCGCAGUUGAAUCUGGACGCCUUGAGGUCACAACAGGCAGGCGGAAUUCGUGGUGUAGCGGUGAAAUGCAUAGAUAUCACGAGGAACCCCGAUUGCGAAGGCAGCCUGCCGGGGUGCGACUGACGCUGAGGCUCGAAGGUGCGGGUAUCAAACAGGAUUAGAUACCCGUGUAGUC
rnacentral:rRNA from 1 species